GUCCGUGUAGCGCAGUGAAUAGCGCGUUGGACUUCUAAUCCAAUUCCACUAUAUUUAUAUAUAUAUAUAUAUCCCUGGUGAAUUCGAAUUUCACCAGGGACG